AAGGGCACCACAAGAACGCGUGGAGCGUGUGGCUUAAUUUGACUCAACGCGGGAAAUCUUACCGGGUCCGGACACACUGAGGAUUGACAGGCAAUAUUAAUUUCUGCAGCUUCGGCUCAGUUAUUAUGUUAAAUAUGCUAGUCCUUUCAUGAUUAUGUGAUAGGUGGUGCAUGGCCGUUCUUAGUUCGUGGAGUGAUCUGUCUGCUUAAUUGCGUUUCACUAAGGGCCUAUAAAUUACGUGUGUUGCGGUACUUUGACCCCUCUUUUUUCGAGAAGAGCGCGUGUCUUAGUUUGCUUAGCUCACACAAUUAGGUCCUGAAAGCAACGAACGUGACCGCAACCUCUUGUUGCCUUUAUACCAAACAUGGAUAUUCUCUUCGGAGGGUUUCAUGAAAAAAGGCUUUUUAAACUAGAGGGACCGCUGUUACUUUCUUAAACCAGAGGAAGGUUGCGGCAAUAACAGGUCUGUGAUGCCCUUAGAUGUUCCGGGCUGCACACGUGCUACAAUGAUUAUUGCAGUGAGCAUCUCAUUUUUUACACACCGCAUACGCGAGUCCAUUUAUUCACUCUCGGGUGCUUUAAAUGUGCAUCUCUGCGAGCGGUAAAGCCUGCUUCGAAAGUAAGUGGGUAAUCAAUUAGAAGUAAUGAUUUCCUUUUUUUCUAGCACACAUAUAUACGGCGUUUAUACCCGGGCUGCCUUGUUGUAGCUUUUGUGCGUAUAGAUGUUUUUUCCGUAUGUGCGAUUGUCAAUUCAUGGUGGGGACAGACCAUUGUUAAUUGUUGGUCUCGGUCUUAACUAGGAAUGCCUUGUACGGGUCUUUGGUUCAACAAACCACCCGGAAUACGUCCCUGCCCUUUGUACACACCCCCCGUCGCUCUUACCGAUGGACUUCUCUGYGAGUUUGAGGGACUGGGAACGCAGGUUUUUUAUUAAAUCUGCACACCUAUGGAAACUUAAACGAACAGUGUGGUCUAAAGGAAAGAGAAGUCGUAACAAGGCAUCGUAGGUGAACCUGCAGAAGGAUCA
rnacentral:rRNA from 1 species